AGUGAACGCUGGCGGUAGGCCUAACACAUGCAAGUCGAACGGCGGCACAGUAAGAUCUUGCUCUUACGGGUGGCGAGUGGCGGACGGGUGAGGAAUACAUCGGAAUCUACUUUUUCGGGGGGGAUAACGUAGGGAAACUUACGCUAAUACCGCAUACGACCUACGGGUGAAAGCAGGGGAUCUUCGGACCUUGCGCGAUUGAAUGAGCCGAUGUCGGAUUAGCUAGUUGGCGGGGUAAAGGCCCACCAAGGCGACGAUCCGUAGCUGGUCUGAGAGGAUGAUCAGCCACACUGGAACUGAGACACGGUCCAGACUCCUACGGGAGGCAGCAGUGGGGAAUAUUGGACAAUGGGCGAAAGCCUGAUCCAGCCAUACCGCGUGGGUGAAGAAGGCCUUCGGGUUGUAAAGCCCUUUUGUUGGGAAAGAAAAGCAGCAGGUUAAUACCCCGCUGUUCUGACGGUACCCAAAGAAUAAGCACCGGCUAACUUCGUG
rnacentral:rRNA from 1 species